rnacentral:rRNA from 1 species
UACGUAGGGAGCAAGCGUUAUCCGGAUUUACUGGGUGUAAAGGGCGCGCAGGCGGGCCGGCAAGUUGGAAGUGAAAUCUAUGGGCUUAACCCAUAAACUGCUUUCAAAACUGCUGGUCUUGAGUGAUGGAGAGGCAGGCGGAAUUCCGUGUGUAGCGGUGAAAUGCGUAGAUAUACGGAGGAACACCAGUGGCGAAGGCGGCUUGCUGGACAUUAACUGACGCUGAGGCGCGAAAGCGUGGGGAGCAAACAGG